rnacentral:lncRNA from 1 species
UCUGGCCGUGUAGGUAAUCUUUGCUUGUCAUGUAGCAAAGUUCAUCCACUGGAGGUACCAAAGAUUGAUGCACUCACUGCAAUAAUGUCUUCAAUGUCUUAAGGAUCACCUGUAGAACUCUGCCAAAGGAAAAAGCAAAAGACUGCAGGGAGUCAGGAAGCCAGAGCAGAGAAGAUCAGCAAGACCCCGGUUCCCGAAAGAGCUCCAAAAUGGUUUCUCUGUGGCUUUGGAGACUGUCCUGGAACUAGCUGGUCUCAAACUCACAGACAUCCACCUGCCUCUGCUUCCUGAGUGCUGGGAUUAAAGACAUGAGCCACCACCGCCCAGCCAGAGUGUAACCUUAUCACAGACAAACACACAAGCAUAUUAUACAGUGGCAAACAUGCUGUUGCUGUGAGUAGUUGCAGUUAUUUUUUAAAUUUACAUAUAUAUCUAUGUGUAUGAGUGUUUUGUCUGCAUGUAUGUAUGUGAACAUCAUACAUGCCCUGUGACUGCUGAGGCUAGAAAUGUGUGUCAG